rnacentral:snoRNA from 1 species
UUCUCAUUUUAAAAUCUCUUACUUUUUUGGUAGCUGGUGCUGAGAGAAGACCCUUGAUGGCAUCUUUGCCCUGGGACUUUACCAGUGGCAACUGUCACUCAAUGGGACAGAG